UAGAAGUAUGCAUACUCAUAAGCUGCUUCAUUCAAACAGGGGGAACUUAGGACCUCUGUUCUUGAGAUAGUAUAACAAGCUUGGUGGUUGCAGAAUAGAAUGUUGGACAAUCCUGAUAACAUGAAAAAAUCUAAGGAGACCCAGUACAAGGGACCAUGGGGUAAGGAGGCCCAAUACUAGGGACCUGGAGGUGCUCCAAGUCAGGUAAUACCCAAAAUGCAGCGUUCAACAUCAUGAGGGUAGCACCCAGCUCAGCAAAUGUAUACAAUAUCAUAUGCAUCCCCACAAACCUGCAUUUCAGCCCCAGAAGCAAAUUAAAUCAGUGCAUGCAACGCCACUCAGUACUAUCCAGGAUUAUGGGGUCCAGUGACAGACAGGUGUCCCCUCUGUUUUACUUUGGAUGCCUAGUCUUGAGUCCAGAAGAAGCUUUGUAAGAAGCGAAACAGGCUGUCGUUUCAGAUAAUUCCCCUGCGCUGAUGUCUCCCCUCAAGGCAUCCAAGUGCUAUAUAUGUGAAGAUGCAGAAUAAAUAAGAAAUAA